UUGCUGGGUGAGGCCUGUAUAAAUGUCUAUUCUGCACAAGGUACAGACAAGUCUGGUGGGAUCCAUACCUGGUUCAUUUUAAUAAACGUGAGCUUGUGUGAUAACCAAUCACACGACCCCGUGACGGCGACAACACAUUUGGAUGUCUGCCCUAUCAACUUUCAAUGCUAUUUUCCGCGCCUACCAUGGUGACCACGGGUAACGGGGAAUCAGGGUUCGAUUCCAGAGAGAGAGCCUGAGAAACGGCUACCACAUGCGAGGAAGGCAGCAGGCGCGCAAAUUACACACUCCUGACGCGGGGAGGUAGUGACGA